ensembl:lncRNA
UAGCAACUCUCUCUCUGCUCUGCAGGAAGAUCUCCUCCUGUUUGAACUCUUUACCUGGGUCCAUCUUCCUAGAGGAAGCAGAUGAGCAGCUCCAACUCUUGCUUCUGACAGGACAUGACACCAUUUACAAGGGUUGAAGGUUCUGGGGGCCUGGUCUUGGGGUCAUAGCAAUGGUCUGACUGCACUCUGCUGAUGGAUAAAGCCUAUGUUUUACAUUCUGCCUGAGUAAUUGUGAUAAAUAUUGAUAGGUGUGCUCUGUUACUAAUUUAUUUCAGGCAGAGCAUGUCUCUGAAGCUGUGGAAUGACCUUGACAGAGCGAGCAGUGCUUACCAGGCAUAAGUAUCUCUGCUGAGGGCAUGGCAAAGGCCAGGGGAUCCUGUCAACACAGCUGAAAGAUACUGCUACUCAACAGGAGCUUCCUUGGUGCUAUAGAAAGAUAAGAUAUUGCUUAAAGGCAGAAAUUUAAAAGUAUUCAGUAUAUUUCAGGAUAUCUCUGAAACAAGGUCAUUGAAAGAUAAUAGAAAUAUUACUGGGGCAUUGGAACUGCAAAAGGAGGCAUUUCAUCCCUUUACAGGGAGAAGAUGUGUCAUUCCUAGCCUGGUCUUUUUCCUGAGAUGUGAUCCUUAGAUCGGGGUUUACCACCAAGCUGUUUGAGGCCAUGCUGUCCAUGCUGGUGCAGUGCUGUGUUUAUGUGGUGUGCACAGACAAAUCCUGUCUCUGAAUGAAGAUCUGGAACUUCUGCAUGACUCUGAAGGGAGAUCAAGUUGGCAGUGGGUCAGAACAAUAUAUUUCCUGAGCAGAACCUACACCAGUGGACAUCUGAUCACACAAAAGUCUUGUAUAUUCCAGCCCCAAUGCACUGUAUCAGAGAUACUUCUGCUGCUCUGUAUUUCCUGUGUCUGGGUUGUUGUCAGGCAGCCCCAUUUUACCCAAACAAUGCAAAUGAGCCAUAAAAUAUUGAUAAAUCUUAUCUGCACUUUUUCACCUUUUGGGGAUAAAUUCCGAUCUUCACUGCAAGUAGCAACUAUCUCCACUUAAGCCAGCAUGGUGCCACUACUUUCAUGGAUAUAAGACUGGGAUGAUUUUGGCAAAGACAGAACAGGGGAGGCCCUAUUAUGUGGAAACACCUCUGUUCUGGAAAAUUAUCCAGUGUUGAUAAACAAUAACCAGCUAGCCCUCACUCACUAUUGCAGGUUUCCAAUAGGAUUUAUGCUGAUCCUGCUAUUGAAGUGGUUCAUUAAAAGUGACAGUGAUGCUGGGACACUGGGGCAAUCAUGGUAGUGUUCUGCAAAAACACCUCAGAGAGCACCUCAGCAUGCCCACUCUAGCAUAACCAGUGGAAGGUUUUUUCUAUGAUGAAAAAAGACAACUGCUGCUAUUUUCAGUCCAUUCCAAUAAUGUGCUUCAUUCUAAUCAGAAGGAGAAGUUUAUACUAAACAAAUGCUCACUUUCUUCACUUCCUUUUUCACAUCAGUCACUGUCAGAUUGAUACAGAAAAUAUGGCUGUUAAUAGCUUGCAGUGGAACAAACAUUUGCAUAACUGUUACCUCAGAGCCCAUAACUCCGAGCUAAUUGGCUGAUGGUGAUUAAAAUGAUUAAGUGACUGUAAUUUAUAUGAUUAACCAAUUAAGCCAUUCUCCUGUGAUUGGCCCAGGGUAGGGUCUGGGAUGUGAGCUUGUUUCCCAGCAUGCAUGCCGGCAGUGCACGAUAUUAAAUAUUCUUUUAAAUACUUGCUCUUGUUCCUGCCAACAGCACUCAAGGUGCUUUAAAGGUAUUUUAAUUACUUCAUAUCAUUUGUGUAGCACAGAGAGUCAUAAGUUGAAGGCAACCUAUGAAUUAUUAACAAAAUAAAUCUAGCACUGGCUAGGGUAACA